GGGUUGUGAGGUUAAGCGACUAAGCGUACACGGUGGAUGCCCUGGCAGUCAGAGGCGAUGAAGGACGUGCUAAUCUGCGAAAAGCGUCGGUAAGGUGAUAUGAACCGUUAUAACCGGCGAUGUCCGAAUGGGGAAACCCAGUGUGAUUCGUCACACUAUCGUUAACUGAAUACAUAGGUUAACGAGGCGAACCGGGGGAACUGAAACAUCUAAGUACCCCGAGGAAAAGAAAUCAACCGAGAUUCCCCCAGUAGCGGCGAGCGAACGGGGAGCAGCCCAGAGUCUGAAUCAGCUUGUGUGUUAGUGGAACGGUCUGGAAAGUCCGACGGUACAGGGUGAUAGUCCCGUACACCAAAAUGCACAGGCUGUGAACUCGAAGAGUAGGGCGGGACACGUGGUAUCCUGUCUGAAUAUGGGGGGACCAUCCUCCAAGGCUAAAUACUCCUGACUGACCGAUAGUGAACCAGUACCGUGAGGGAAAGGCGAAAAGAACCCCGGCGAGGGGAGUGAAAAAGAACCUGAAACCGUGUACGUACAAGCAGUGGGAGCACCUUCGGGUGUGACUGCGUACCUUUUGUAUAAUGGGUCAGCGACUUAUAUUCUGUAGCAAGGUUAACCGUAUAGGGGAGCCGCAGGGAAACCGAGUCUUAACUGGGCGUUAAGUUGCAGGGUAUAGACCCGAAACCCGGUGAUCUAGCCAUGGGCAGGUUGAAGGUUGGGUAACACUAACUGGAGGACCGAACCGACUAAUGUUGAAAAAUUAGCGGAUGACUUGUGGCUGGGGGUGAAAGGCCAAUCAAACCGGGAGAUAGCUGGUUCUCCCCGAAAGCUAUUUAGGUAGCGCCUCGUGAACUCAUCUUCGGGGGUAGAGCACUGUUUCGGCUAGGGGGUCAUCCCGACUUACCAACCCGAUGCAAACUACGAAUACCGAAGAAUGUUAUCACGGGAGACACACGGCGGGUGCUAACGUCCGUCGUGAAGAGGGAAACAACCCAGACCGCCAGCUAAGGUCCCAAAGUCAUGGUUAAGUGGGAAACGAUGUGGGAAGGCACAGACAGCCAGGAUGUUGGCUUAGAAGCAGCCAUCAUUUAAAGAAAGCGUAAUAGCUCACUGGUCGAGUCGGCCUGCGCGGAAGAUGUAACGGGGCUAAACCAUGCACCGAAGCUGCGGCAGCGACACUAUGUGUUGUUGGGUAGGGGAGCGUUCUGUAAGCCUGCGAAGGUGUGCUGUGAGGCAUGCUGGAGGUAUCAGAAGUGCGAAUGCUGACAUAAGUAACGAUAAAGCGGGUGAAAAGCCCGCUCGCCGGAAGACCAAGGGUUCCUGUCCAACGUUAAUCGGGGCAGGGUGAGUCGACCCCUAAGGCGAGGCCGAAAGGCGUAGUCGAUGGGAAACAGGUUAAUAUUCCUGUACUUGGUGUUACUGCGAAGGGGGGACGGAGAAGGCUAUGUUAGCCGGGCGACGGUUGUCCCGGUUUAAGCAUGUAGGCUGGUUAUCCAGGCAAAUCCGGAUAAUCAAGGCUGAGGUGUGAUGACGAGGCACUACGGUGCUGAAGUAACAAAUGCCCUGCUUCCAGGAAAAGCCUCUAAGCAUCAGGUAACAUCAAAUCGUACCCCAAACCGACACAGGUGGUCAGGUAGAGAAUACCAAGGCGCUUGAGAGAACUCGGGUGAAGGAACUAGGCAAAAUGGUGCCGUAACUUCGGGAGAAGGCACGCUGGUGUGUAGGUGAAGCCCCUGCGGGUGGAGCUGAGACCAGUCGAAGAUACCAGCUGGCUGCAACUGUUUAUUAAAAACACAGCACUGUGCAAACACGAAAGUGGACGUAUACGGUGUGACGCCUGCCCGGUGCCGGAAGGUUAAUUGAUGGGGUUAUCCGUAAGGAGAAGCUCUUGAUCGAAGCCCCGGUAAACGGCGGCCGUAACUAUAACGGUCCUAAGGUAGCGAAAUUCCUUGUCGGGUAAGUUCCGACCUGCACGAAUGGCGUAAUGAUGGCCAGGCUGUCUCCACCCGAGACUCAGUGAAAUUGAACUCGCUGUGAAGAUGCAGUGUACCCGCGGCAAGACGGAAAGACCCCGUGAACCUUUACUAUAGCUUGACACUGAACAUUGAGCCUUGAUGUGUAGGAUAGGUGGGAGGCUUUGAAGCGUGGACGCCAGUCUGCGUGGAGCCAACCUUGAAAUACCACCCUUUAAUGUUUGAUGUUCUAACGUUGGCCCCUUACCGGGGUUGCGGACAGUGUCUGGUGGGUAGUUUGACUGGGGCGGUCUCCUCCCAAAGCGUAACGGAGGAGCACGAAGGUUAGCUAAUCCUGGUCGGACAUCAGGAGGUUAGUGCAAUGGCAUAAGCUAGCUUGACUGCGAGCGUGACGGCGCGAGCAGGUGCGAAAGCAGGUCAUAGUGAUCCGGUGGUUCUGAAUGGAAGGGCCAUCGCUCAACGGAUAAAAGGUACUCCGGGGAUAACAGGCUGAUACCGCCCAAGAGUUCAUAUCGACGGCGGUGUUUGGCACCUCGAUGUCGGCUCAUCACAUCCUGGGGCUGAAGUAGGUCCCAAGGGUAUGGCUGUUCGCCAUUUAAAGUGGUACGCGAGCUGGGUUUAGAACGUCGUGAGACAGUUCGGUCCCUAUCUGCCGUGGGCGCUGGAGAAUUGAGGGGGGCUGCUCCUAGUACGAGAGGACCGGAGUGGACGCAUCACUGGUGUUCGGGUUGUCAUGCCAAUGGCACUGCCCGGUAGCUAAAUGCGGAAGAGAUAAGUGCUGAAAGCAUCUAAGCACGAAACUUGCCCCGAGAUGAGUUCUCCCUGAGACUUUAAGUCUCCUGAAGGAACGUUAAAGACGAUGACGUUGAUAGGCCGGGUGUGUAAGCGCAGCGAUGCGUUGAGCUAACCGGUACUAAUGAACCGUGAGGCUUAACCUUACAACGCCGAAG
rnacentral:rRNA from 1 species